AAUGCCGGUUUCAGCUCACGCCUCCGGCCCUCUGACGGGUCCAUGUCGGGGCGAAUCCUUGCUCUGCGCCUCGGACGGGACGGGGAGGGGCUGCCUGCGCCUGCGCGCGCGGGGAUCAGCCGACCACGAGACCACACGAUCGAUUACAAACACGUCUCUCCCCGCUGCUGCAAUCGCAAAACCCCAGCCACCUUUUUUUUCCGCCGGCCUGCGCCGAUCCAUAUCCGCCGCAGUCCAGCCGCAGCGAUUCUCCACCUUGAUCCAGCUGCCGCCGCUCUAGCUGCUCGCUCGUUCCACACCUUUCCUCUUUUUUUCCCUCCCUUCUCAGCGUCCUCGCUCGCUCGUCCAGUCCAGCUCCGUCCGUGCUUGCCUCCUCCGGCUUCGGACUCCCAAUGGCCAUGCUGAGGGUGUGGGAGUGGGACUGGGACGUCGACCUCGACUCGGUGCUCGACUUCGUGCUCUGGUGCCUGCCCCUUCUCCUCGUCGCCUGCCUCAUCGGCAGCCGCGUCGUCACGGGAGGCCAGCUCGACCCCGUCGCUGACGCCGCCGCGGCUGCCGCCGCUGCCGUCGCGAUCGCCAAUGUCCUAGCGCGCCGGCUCAAGCUCCGCUGCUUCUGGCGCCGCAAGAAUUGAAGGUUGCAUGUACACGAGAUAGUUCACGGGCAACAUACUGAUGAAGUGGUUCCUAAAGAGCUUCGGGCUAUAUGACAGUAACAUAUUGAUGAAGUGGUUCCUGAUGCAAGAACAUACUGAUGAAGUGGUUCCUAAUUCAAGAGCCGAAGUUACUCAAGGACUGGUACCGACAUCAAUGACAAGGAUUGAAGAAGUGGUGACUGGAGGGCUGGGGUUGUCUCAUAACAGAUUGCUACGACAGAAGAUGGUAGUACUAUUUCAGCAGGAGCAACGUCGUCUCCACGCAUUGUUAGAUGUUUAGUUAAAAAUCACCCUGAAGAAGAAGAAAGUGUAAUCUGGCCACUGAAAUUGUAAUAUGUGAAGUGCAGUGUGUACCGAUACGUGAACUUGUUUGAAACUGUAAUUUGUGAAAUGAACUACUGUUCUCUAGUGAAAAUAGUCUAUAAUUCAUUCAGUGAUCUCAAGCACUGCUUCUAGUGAAAAUACUCCUCUAUUUCCCUUGUAAUCUAUGAACUGCAAUUAUUUCAGAUUUAUGUGAAAAUAGUCACUUAAAUAUGCAGUUAUUUUA